CUCUCCCUCUACCUCUACCACUACCCUGAGGCAUAGCUGAAGCCACUGGCUGCCCUACUGGCUGUGCUACACUGCCUGAACUCAUCUGCUGGGAAGGUGCCACAAAAGUCACCUGAGGACAUUCUCGAGCAAAAUGCCCUACCUGUCCACAUCUGAAACAGGCUGACGAUCCCAACUGACAAGCUCCUCUGUGUGGUCUCCCAC
rnacentral:lncRNA from 1 species